UCUCUGUGGAUGUUCUGCAUUUUCAUCAUCAAAUGACUGGCUGGCUAUUUUUGUCAAACAAGAAGCCUGAAACCAUCAAGUCUGAGUGUGGAGACAGUCUGCCCGCUCUGUCAACAGGAUGAAAAUAGAAAAACUGAAUGGAUAAAUGAUGCAGACCGGGUGCGGUGGCUCAUGCCUGUAAUCCCAGCACUUUGGGAGCCAAGUGUGAAGUUCUUUGUGAAUGAGCCACAUUUUUUACUCAUUCAAGUCCCUACUGCAUAAUCACAUAGAUUAACUGACUUGGAUCGUUAAUUGUUACACUUGAAGAACUCCACAAACUUGAUC